rnacentral:rRNA from 1 species
CGGGUGAGUAACGCGUGGGUAACCUGCCUCAUACAGGGGAAUAGCAGCUGGAAACGGCUGAUAAAACCGUAUAAGCGCACAGUGCCGCAUGGCACAGUGUGAAAAACUCCGGUGGUAUGAGAUGGACCCGCGUCUGAUUAGCUGGUUGGUGGGGUAACGGCCCACCAAGGCGACGAUCAGUAGCCGGCCUGAGAGGGUGACCGGCCACAUUGGGACUGAGACACGGCCCAA